GGGGAAUAUUGCACAAUGGGCGAAAGCCUGAUGCAGCAACGCCGCGUGCGGGAUGAAGGCCUUCGGGUUGUAAACCGCUUUCAGCAGGGACGAAGGGUUUCUGACGGUACCUGCAGAAGAAGCACCGGCUAACUACGUGCCAGCAGCCGCGGUGAUACGUAGGGUGCGAGCGUUGUCCGGAAUUAUUGGGCGUAAAGAGCUUGUAGGCGGUCCGUCACGUCGGAAGUGAAAACUCAGGGCUUAACCCUGAGCCUGCUUUCGAUACGGGCAGACUUGAGGGAUGUAGGGGAGAACGGAAUUCCUGGUGGAGCGGUGGAAUGCGCAGAUAUCAGGAGGAACACCAGUGGCGAAGGCGGUUCUCUGGACAUUUCCUGACGCUGAGAAGCGAAAGCGUGGGGAGCAAACA
rnacentral:rRNA from 1 species